UUUCAAGCACUUCUUUUUUUUAGGACCGAAACGUUGACAAGAGUACUCGUUCUAUCGUAGCGCCUUCUGUUGAAUGCUAGUUUGAUGAUUCAUUUGACUUUAUGUUUUUUGUAUUUUAGAAUGAAAUGUAGGUUGGAACUAGCAGGAAAAGUAAAAAAUAUUAAAUAGAACCGCUGUUCUUUUAAUUCUCUUAAACACCAGCAGCCUGACUAAAAGUAUAAUCAUGCAGAGGAAGAAACUUGGCCAGUUUUGGUCACUUCUUUGUCAAAUUUUGGGUAGCAUUAUAUUUUGGUUAUAGGUGUUAAAGAAUCUAGUAGGUGCUCUCAUCUUAACUACCUGAAAACAAACAACAUGAGUUUCACUGGUGUAUUUGCAAAUGAAUGGAAACUUCCUUUCCUUGAUACUCUGAAGAAGCAGCAGACUAAGAAAUUGAAAAAUCAAAAUCUUGCAAAUCCAGUUGGCUGCUUUAUUUGUUGUCAAAACUAAAGCUUUAUCCUUGACUGAUAUUAACAGGUUUGUUCAAAUAUUUCUACAUCUUGGCCUUUCUGCUUUCUACAUUGCAACAAAUUUUAAAAUCAUGUGUAGACUGAUGUAUGAUUAAACUCUAGUAAAUCUGUUGAUCCUUUUUUGCAGUCAGUUGGCUUGUAAUGUUCACAACAAAGUGCACAUAUUUAUGUGGUUUAUGUCUAUAUUCUGAAAUGUCUUGUACACACACAUUUCUAACUUACUGCAUUAUGCAUUGAAAGAAAGGAAUAUGAAUAAAAGAUAUAGAGGACAAGUAACGUGAUGUGAAUGUCAUAGAAAGAGUAAAUGAUCAAAUAUGUUUGUUGUAUGUGAUAUUGAAAUGCAAAAUGUUUUUUUCUAAUAGCAACUAACUUUUACACAAAAGUAAUAUUUUUGUAUCUGUUAUUAUGCUAAUAAAGAAUAUUGUUUGUACAAAACUGACAAUGAAGAACUACUGUGUUUUAUUAAUUAUAUAUCUUUAAAAAAUCACCCUGACAGUUGUUUUUGAGCAUAAAAAUAGCUAAAUAUUAUGAAAGCCAUGAAAAC